AGGGUUGUUGUACCGUAUCGUUUGUUCUACUUUCUUUGUCGAGUGACGCAAAAGGGUUACUGUGCGUAUCAUUGUAAUCACUAAUCAGAUGCAUCCGGUGCCAAAUCUAGGAAAAGCAACCUUGAAGUCAUCGAGAUUUUAUAGUCUGACAUCUGGAAUUUAAAUGUCUCAACAAGGGCGUUAGAUCCAACAACGUUCCACAAUGCUAAUGGGAGAAUUCAAAUUUGGGACCUCUCUCUCAUUUCUUCUCCUUUCACGCUUUGAAACAAAUAAAGGACACCCGAGAUCCCCGUAGAAGCUCUUGUUGGAAAAUUUAGAUUUCAAAUGUCAGAUUAUAAAACAUGGGUGACUUCAAAAUGUGAGUUUCACAAAUCCAUGUUUUCGUUCCUAAGAGCGAUAAUAAAAACUGCUCGCAGAUUGGAACGUAAGCAUAACACUUUUUGUUCUUGAGUUUAUAUGCUUGCUAGCCCUGAAAUGCAGGUUGCGAGAGAGGAUGGAGUGGAGGAUCGCUUUCCCUUAAAGUGAUAGGAAGAUUGGGAUCAACAAGUGACCACAAUGGUGUGGCAAAGCAGACUAACCUGCCUAAUUCUUUCUAAAGAAGGGCAGGAUGAGUUGGCCCAUCAUGAAAAGUGGGUUGCAAAAUACAACUCACCCUGUUUAGAUGAUGAGAAGAUAGAAACAAUCAACGUUAUGGACAAGUUAGACUCCAUGAAUUUGUCUAAUUUCUAGUAGCAUGGUACAAUAACUAUUAUCAACAAUGGCAUUUAUCCACAGGGGUUUUGUCACUUUGAAUAACUGAUUGCUGCCCAUUUGCAAGGAAAAAUGCAACAAACGCUGGUAACUACUACCACGUUAAACACUUUACCAUGGUGUAUUAGAUGGUGUGUCGAGCAAAAGCCACAACAGGUACCUUGUAUAUUCACUGGUUAAUUAUUGUUCUUACCUUUUUCUAGAAGCAGGGUAGUGCAUGCUUCAAUCCAUAAUGUGUUUACAUGAGUCCCGGGAAGAAAAGGAAUUAACUAAAAGUUCUCUAAGAUGUAUCCAGAAGAAAGUAUUCUAAAAUGUCACUACGUUUUCACUUCUUCAUAAAAGCCUAAAAACGUUCGUUUUCAGAUUUGGGUCUAUUUUUUGAAAAUAUUUUCUUCU